rnacentral:lncRNA from 1 species
AGACAAUCAGCGUGUGUGUGGCGGAUUGUGUCUGCCUGGCUGUGUCAAAGGGUGCUGUGCCAGAAUGAUAGAAGCCUGGGGAAAUUGCCCUUGGCCUCCUCAGCCGGGUGGACAAAGCCUGUGGGACUAUGACUGCACCCCAUCCAAGGAGGCCCAGAAGGAUGACUGAGGCUGGUGGUCAAGACGUCAGAGGCUUGCACAACCACGCGUUUGACAAACCCAUUGGUUGGGUGGAGUAAGCAACUGCAGAAUGUAUGGCCCCGCAGACUGCUCCGAGUCCCCAGAAGUCACCUAUGGCCUCCGGACCUCGAGCCGCGGUCCCGACUUCCCCUCGUCCCCAGGGAGUUUGGUCUCGUCCUGGCGCAGACCCUGGGAGCGCGUCCGCGUCGUCAUGGCGACGGGCAGAGCGGGCGCUGGCUCCCGCGAAUCCAGCCCGGGAACCAGCUCCAGUGUGAGCCGCCUGGGACCUGGGGCGCGGGGUGGCUCUCUUGGCCGCCGUCGAGCUGCUGAGGCCGCCUGAGCUCCAGGAAAUGACCCUUGGCUCUAAAAAGAGGACCCCAUUUUUCGUGAUAAAAUGGCACCAGUGAAAACCCCCAGCAGAAAACCAAAGAAUGCUGAGGAACCGUUUAAUAAUGUCUCGCCCGUCCUUUUUGAAGAGUCUAGUGGAGAAGCCCAAGGGAAGAACAGAAGUACCUAAUCACCUCCUAGAAUCAA